rnacentral:rRNA from 1 species
CCUACGGGAGGCAGCAGUGGGGAAUAUUGGACAAUGGGCGAAAGCCUGAUCCAGCAAUGCCGCGUGAGUGAUGAAGGCCUUCGGGUCGUAAAGCUCUUUUACCAGGGAUGAUAAUGACAGUACCUGGAGAAUAAGCUCCGGCUAACUCCGUGCCAGCAGCCGCGGUAAUACGGAGGGAGCUAGCGUUGUUCGGAAUUACUGGGCGUAAAGAGUACGUAGGCGGUUAUUCAAGUCAGAGGUGAAAGCCCGGGGCUCAACCCCGGAACUGCCUUUGAAACUAGAUAACUAGAGUCUUGGAGAGGUUAGUGGAAUUCCGAGUGUAGAGGUGAAAUUCGUAGAUAUUCGGAAGAACACCAGUGGCGAAGGCGACUAACUGGACAAGUACUGACGCUGAGGUACGAAAGCGUGGGGAGCAAACAGGAUUAGAUACCCUGGUAGUCCACGCCGUAAACGACUGAUAACUAGUUGUUACGGUCACUUGGUGACUGAGUGACGCAGCUAACGCAUUAAGUUAUCCGCCUGGGGAGUACGGUCGCAAGAUUAAAACUCAAAGGAAUUGACGGCUGAGACGUUGCGAGACGACGACGAGGGAGGAGG